GAUGGACUAACAUUGAUGGUGACCACCAUGGAUAACCAACAUCUAUGGGGCGCCUACAUAAUGGAUGGUGCAAAUUAAAGGUCGGACCCUCAUGAUGAAUGGCUCACGUCCAAGGUGGGCCUACAUGAUGUAGGGCCCACAUCAAAGGUGAGGCCCACGGCCCCACAAUGAACAACCCACAUCAAAGGUUGGCCCCACCUGAUCCACGGUAAAUAUGAGGGUGGAUCAAACAAAAACGAGAGAUAAAUACUUGAGUGAUGUUGGAAACAAAACAUGCUUUUUU